CAAGCAGUGGUUUCACUGACUUGUGCCUGAUCUCUAAGAUUCAACAAACGGAGGAUACCAUCCCCACAAGAACAUCAGAUCCUUAUCACCAAGAUCCAAGAAUUAGAGGACGACAAAAUCCACCAUGAAAACAUUCUGCCUCGACUUAAAAAAAAAAAAAAAGAGCAUUUUUGGGAGAGACGGAUGGAAGACCCGGCAGACGGAGAUGGACAAAAUGAGGCGCAAGAUGCAGGACAAAGAGACAAAGAAAUAGGAGAGAGAAGAGAAGAAAAAGGAGACCAUCAAGGACGUCAACAUCAACGUGCCUGAGACUGUAGUAAGUAAGUAACACCUUCCUUCACCUCCCACUCCAUCCUACCUUAUCCAUCUACCCCCCGCUCCCCGUAAUUGUUGACCUUACUUAAAAACUAAUUUAUGCUUAAUUUGUUGACCAUACUGAAGGAAACUUAGUAAAGUACACUUUCUGCUCCGGAAAGUUAUGAACCUUAUGAUGUCAAGUAACGUUUACUUAAAAGAAUGAGUGUCGAAGAACUUUCCCCAAAACCUCGGCUGCACUCGGCUCUAAUACGCAUGCACACUUGACCACCGAAGACGUAAUUUCCUUUGAGGCGGCUGCUGGAAGCGGGAAGAAAGCGCUGCUCUGUCCAGAAGGUAAGUUUCAGCUAACGUUACAUGAUAAAAUGUUACCGUUUACUGGCACCGUUCUACCUAGCAAACUUACUCGUCCAUUUGCCAUAUUCUUCACGUGUUAGUUAACGUUGGUUAUUGGGGGUUAACUUUUAUCUCAGCUAGCUAACGUUAGCUGUUAACAUUUAAGCUAACAUUAGCUUGACCAUCAGUGUGGGACCUUCUAGAAUAAAUCUAACGUUAAAUAUAACAACAACUGUACGUUAGUAACGUUAACUUGCACUGCACUUAUACGACGUCACGUUUCACUUAGCGCUAUUACAAUUGAUGUUAACGUUAGUUAACCGAAACAUGUAAUAACAUAUUUAAUGUGCGACAGGACGGUAGCGGUUAUUAACGUAAUAACGGUUAAACAACGUGGCUGCCUAACGCGCGUGCACGGUUACCUCCCACUCCAUCCUACCUCAUCCAUCUACCCCCGCGCCCCUUCCACUCGCGCUACACAGCGCUAAAUACCCCCCCGCAGGCAUGGACCGCCUCCUCAUUCAUUGGUAAAUAUCAUUGCCAUUGUAUAUUUUAUUCCCUGCGCUCUAGGAAGUGUUUUUUUCCAACUUUAUCGUCUGGACAGUAGCAUGGCACGGCCUCUGAGGAUGAGGAAUCUUUUUCAUCUCAUCCAUUUCGUUCUUUGGCUAAUGCAAGGCUGCAGAUGAAGAUGAGGGGAUUUCUGUAUCUGCCCAUAUACCCUGAACCUGGCCAAUGACCAUAACCAUUAUUUCCCCGGGCGCGCCCCAACACCAACGCCCCCCUCCUCAUCUUCAUUUGCGGCCUUGCAUUUUGCCCAAGAAAGAAAUGGAUGAGAUGAAACGGGUUAAUGGAAGGCUGCAGAUGAAGAUGAGGGGAUUUCUGUAUCUGCGCAUAUACCCUGAACCUGGCCAUUUGGCCGGUGUUUGGAUGAACUACCACGGCUGGGUUGACGAAUCAAUAGUGACAACUUGUGAAGGUAGGCCGAUAGUUUCAUUCGUCCGUCGUUGGAAAUUGGGAUCUCGGUUUGAUUUUUCAAGUUAUGCAUUAGGCAAGGUAGACACACAUGUCCCCCUCUAUAGUUUCAAUAAUGCCAUGCCAAUAUUACAGUGAUGCCAUGCCAAUAUAUAUAACAUAUUAUCAUACUUCAUAUUUGUAAUAUCAUAGAUAAUAACAAGAUAAUAUAGGACUAAUAUCAUAUAGCAUUAUGUAGGACUAAUAUAACAAACAUGCCAUCAUACUUAGUAUUUCUAAUAUUAUAUAACUUAAUAUCAUAUACAGUGUUUUCCCUACCAUUAUUUCCCCCGGCGCGCCCCAACACCAACGCCCCCCUCCAGUACGUCCGCCCCCCCAUAGUUGGGAACAUAGGGGAAACACUGAUAUGACAUAAUAUAGUAGAACUAAUACAGGAGAUAUGGCUUUAUAAUUACUGAGAACAGAAUAUCGUAGAACUAAUAUCAUAAAAUAGCAUCGUAUUCCAUAUUUCUAAUACCAUUUAACAUGAUAUAGAACUAAUAUCAGAAAUAUAGCAUUAUAUUUCAAUAUAUGACAUAAUAUCUUAUUACAAUAUCAUAAAUAUAAUUGAACAGAUGCUAUUUUUACCACUAGCCAUGCCUUUAAUACAAAGUAUAGAGGGGGGCAUGUGUGUCUACCUUGCAUAAUGUAUAACUUGAGAAAUUGACGACCGAAUGAAACUGUUGGACUACCUUCACAAGUUGUUACUAUUGAUUUGUCAAACCGGCUGUGUGAGGUUAUCCGAACAUCGGCCAAAUGACCGGUUUCAGGGUAUGUGCGCAGAUACAGAAAUUCCCUCAUCUUCAUUUGCGGCCUUGCAUUUUGCCCAAGAAAGAAAUGGGUGAGAUGAAACGGGUUAAUGGAAGGCUGCAGAUGAAGAUGAGGGGAUUUCUGUAUCUGCCCAUAUACCCUGAACCUGGCCAAUGACCAUAACCAUUAUUUCCCCCGGCGCGCCCCAACACCAACGCCCCCCUCCGGUACGUCCGCCCCCCCCAUAGUUGGGAACAUAGGGGAAACACUGAUAUGACAUAAUAUAGUAGAACUAAUACAGGAGAUAUGGCUUUAUAAUUACUGAGAACAGAAUAUCGUAGAACUAAUAUCAUAAAAUAGCAUCGUAUUCCAUAUUUCUAAUACCAUUUAAGAUAAUAUAGAACUAAUAUCAGAAAUAUAGCAUUAUAUUUCAAUAUAUGACAUAAUAUCUUAUUACAAUAUCAUAAAUAUAAUUGAACAGAUGCUAUUUUUACCACUAGCCAUGCCUUUAAUACAAAGUAUAGAGGGGGGCAUGUGUGUCUACCUUGCAUAAUAAAUAACUUGAGAAAUUAAACCGAGAACGCAGUUUCCAAUGACAACCGAAUGAAACUGUUGGACUACCUUCACAAGUUGUUACUAUUGAUUUGUCAAACCGGCUGUGUGAGGUUAUCCGAACAUCGGCCAAAUGACCGGUUUCAGGGUAUGUGCGCAGAUACAGAAAUUCCCUCAUCUUCAUUUGCGGCCUUGCAUUUUGCCCAAGAAAGAAAUGGGUGAGAUGAAACGGGUUAAUGGAAGGCUGCAGAUGAAGAUGAGGGGAUUUCUGUGUGAGGUUAUCUGAACAUCUGCCAAAUGGCCAGGUUCAGGGUAUGUGCGCAGAUACAGAAAUCCCCUCAUCUUCAUUUGCAGCCUUGCAUUUUGCCCAAGAAAGAAAUCGAUGAGAUGAAAAAGAUUCCUCAUUCCUCAGGCGUUGUGCUACUGUCCAGUCAAUGAAGUUGGAAAAGAACACUUACUGGAGCACAGGGAAUAAAAUAUACCCAUUGAAUGAGGAGUCUGGUCCUCAAAUGCCAAAAAGUUAUAUGCCCCUCCCCCAUUUUCCCCCAUUAAAAACAAAAAAACUAAAAACGCAAAUCCCAUUCCAUCCUACCUCAUCCAUCUACCGCCACUCCCCUUCCUACCGCGCUUCACAGCGCUCAAGACCCCCCCCCCUACCACCACCACCGGCGCCGCCGCCAUCACAACGCUAAAUACCCCCCUAUGCCGCCCCCCCGCCCUCGCCCUUUCCACCUGCGCUUCACAGGGCUAAAUACCGCCCUGCAGGCAUGGACCGCCUCCUCAUUCAUUGGUAAAUAUCAUUGCCAUUGUAUAUUUCAUUCCCCGUGCUCUAGGAAGUGUUUUUUUCUAACUUUAUCGUCUGGACAGUAGCAUGGCACGGCCUCUGACGAAUGAGGAAUCUUUUUCAUCUCGUCCAUUUCCUUCUUUGGCUAAAGGAGGGCUGCAUAUGAAGAUGAGGGGAUUUCUGUAUGUGCGCAUAUACCCUGAACCUAGCCAUUUGGCCGGUGUUUGGAUGAACUACCACGGCUGGGUUGACGAAUCAAUAGUGACAACUUGUGAAGGAAGUUCAUGGGUGAGAUUUCCUUUGUUAAAGUUCCCGAGGGCAAUAACUAAGGAGUCCGGGUUGGUCCGCUCCACACGCCGUAUCUGGUCGGCGAGUGUCCGCUGUGCCUCGAACACGUUACCCACCGGCGACAUGUAAAGUCGCAUGUCUGGCUGAUACAACUACACAAUAGCAAGGUGAGCAGUAGAACUACAGCAGGUGACGACCCCUGGCUAAUUAAAAGAUAAACUUACUUUAAGAUGCUUCUUCAUGUUGGGAGUCUUUGGACCCUAAAAGGAGGUAGUUUGUGACACCGCACAGUUGUCUUCCAUUCUCCCUUCUCUUUCUUUAACAUGAAAUGCUUAUUGAAUUUCCAGGGUAUAAGCAUUCCUGCCCCGGCUCUGUUGUUCCAGCUCUGGCAGCUGCUGCUCUUCAGAUUCCCGUCAGCAGCUACUCAGACUUUUCAUUCGUUUCCACGUUGGGGCUUCAGGGAAAUGCAUCAAGUUGCCUUCAUUUAUUUAGAGAGUGCACAGCUAAA
ensembl:lncRNA